UGGGGAAUCUUGGACAAUGGGCGCAAGCCUGAUCCAGCCAUGCCGCGUGAGUGAAGAAGGCCUUCGGGUUGUAAAGCUCUUUUACCAGGGACGAUAAUGACGGUACCUGGAGAAUAAGCCCCGGCAAACUUCGUGCCAGCAGCCGCGGUAAUACGAAGGGGGCUAGCGUUGUUCGGAAUUACUGGGCGUAAAGCGCACGUAGGCGGAUUGUUAAGUCAGAGGUGAAAUCCCGGAGCUCAACUUCGGAACUGCCUUUGAUACUGGCAAUCUCGAGUCCGGAAGAGGUUAGUGGAAUUCCCCAGUGUAGAGGUGAAAUUCGUAGAUAUUGGGAAGAACACCAGUGGCGAAGGCGGCUAACUGGUCCGGUACUGACGCUGAGGUGCGAAGCGUGGGGAGCAAACAGGAUUAGAUACCCGUGUAGUCCCUGAGCGGGCUGGCAAGGCGCAU
rnacentral:rRNA from 1 species